rnacentral:rRNA from 1 species
UGGGGAAUCUUGCACAAUGGGGGAAACCCUGAUGCAGCGACGCCGCGUGAGUGAUGAAGCCCUUCGGGGUGUAAAGCUCUUUCGACAGGAACGAUAAUGACGGUACCUGAAGAAGAAGCUGCGGCUAACUACGUGCCAGCAGCCGCGGUAAUACGUAGGCAGCAAGCGUUGUUCGGAAUUACUGGGUGUAAAGGGUUCGUAGGCGGUGUGGCAAGUUGGGAGUGAAAUCUCUGGGCUUAACCCAGAGGCUGCUUCCAAAACUGCUGUGCUUGAGUGUGGGAGAGGCGCGUGGAAUUGCAGGUGUAGCGGUGAGAUGCGUAGAUAUCUGCAGGAACACCGGCGGCGAAGGCGGCCUGCUGGGCCUGAUCUGACGCUGAGGCGCGAAAGCGUGGGGAGCAAACAGGAUUAGAUACCCUGGUAGUCCACGCUGUAAACGAUGAGCACUCGAUGUGCGAGGUAUCCACUCCUCGCGUGUCACAGCUAACGCAUUAAGUGCUCAGCCUGGGGACUACGGUCGCAAGACUA